AUUGAACGCUGGCGGCAUGCUUUACACAUGCAAGUCGAACGGUAACAGGCCGCAAGGUGCUGACGAGUGGCGAACGGGUGAGUAAUGCAUCGGAACGUGCCCAGUCGUGGGGGAUAACUACUCGAAAGAGUAGCUAAUACCGCAUACGAUCUAUGGAUGAAAGCGGGGGACCGUAAGGCCUCGCGCGAUUGGAGCGGCCGAUGUCAGAUUAGGUAGUUGGUGGGGUAAAGGCUCACCAAGCCAACGAUCUGUAGCUGGUCUGAGAGGACGACCAGCCACACUGGGACUGAGACACGGCCCAGACUCCUACGGGAGGCAGCAGUGGGGAAUUUUGGACAAUGGGCGCAAGCCUGAUCCAGCAAUGCCGCGUGCAGGAAGAAGGCCUUCGGGUUGUAAAAUGCUUUUGUACGGAACGAAACGGCUCUGGUUAAUACCCGGGGCUAAUGACGGUACCGGAAGAAUAAGCACCGGCUAACUACGUG
rnacentral:rRNA from 1 species